UGCCCAGAAACUACUAUCCUUACCUCCUCGUGGUACUGGCCGGGGUACGAGUAACCUUAGGGAAGAUCGGGUAACCAACCCCGGUGGGAGCUUUGGUCCAAUGCUGACAGGAAAGG
rfam:Aedes aegypti strain Liverpool supercont1.2640 genomic scaffold, whole genome shotgun sequence.